rnacentral:rRNA from 1 species
CGGAGCUACCAUGCAAGUCGAGGGGCAGCACGGGUAGCAAUACUUGGUGGCGACCGGCAGACGGGUGAGUAACGCGUAUGUAACCUACCCUGUACAGGGGGAUAACCCGGAGAAAUUCGGACUAAUAUCCCAUAGAAAUAUUGGAAGGCAUCUUUUGAUAUUUAAAGUUCCGGCGGUACGGGAUGGGCAUGCGUAACAUUAGCUAGUUGGUAAGGUAACGGCUUACCAAGGCUUUGAUGUUUAGGGGUACUGAGACACGGACCAGACUCCUACGGGAGGCAGCAGUGAGGAAUAUUGGUCAAUGGGCGCAAGCCUGAACCAGCCAUCCCGCGUGCAGGAAGACGGCCCUAUGGGUUGUAAACUGCUUUUCCAGGGGGAGAAAUUUGCGCACGCGUUGCGUAAUUGACGGUACCUUGGGAAUAAGCAUCGGCUAACUCCGUGCCAGCAGCCGCGGUAAUACGGAGGAUGCGAGCGUUAUCCGGAUUCAUUGGGUUUAAAGGGUGCGUAGGCGGACUAAUAAGUCAGUGGUGAAAUCCUGCAGCUUAACUGCAGAACUGCCGUUGAUACUGUUAGUCUUGAGUUUGGUUAAGGUAGGCGGAAUGUGUAAUGUAGCGGUGAAAUGCUUAGAUAUUACACAGAACACCAAUUGCGUAGGCAGCUUACUGAGCCGACACUGACGCUGAGGCACGAAAGCGUGGGGAUCGAACAGGAUUAGAUACCCUGGUAGUCCACGCCGUAAACGAUGAUUACUCGCUGUUGGCGAUACACUGUCA